UCGAGAGCAGCGGAUUACUUGUAACCGACAGUAAAUCAGCGUCUUUUCCGUAGUGUUUACUGCAGGAUGGAUAUAAAAGUAUAAAACACGUUUUUGUUUGACAACAUCGUUCAUAUGUGAACUAUCACAAUUAAAGCACAAAGAUAUAACAUUACACUCCGAGACCAUUCACAAGUGCGACAAAAGAGAAGAAACGCUUUCCGGAAGAAGUUCAUCAGGCGAGUUGGAGACUAGUCGACUCAUCCAGUUUAGCGGAGAGCAUCAACCUCUAAUUGACAUGAGGAAAAAAUCAUUGAAAAGUGUUCAGUGUACAGUGUACCUCUCUUUGCAACAGAGGAAGCAUUAGGAAAGAGGAGAAGAGAGAAAGUGAAAAGGCUCUCAACAGAUGUUGGAAAAUGCACUGGUAACAGCUAAAACAAGACGACCAAAAAUAUAUGUGGCGAGUGGGGCGGGGCCGAGAGCCGUGGGAACGGAGCGAGGCCGGUGGAGUUAAUGAUAAUGAGCGACACCUGCGCCACUCGCCGGUCUCGAGUCCCACGGAGGAGCUCCGGAAGGAUAAAAGGAGGAGUGACGACAGUGGAAGACGAGAGAGGACCAGGCCUGGACUUUUAUUUUGUAUUUUAUGUGCGGCAGUCGUCCGUGAGGGGCUGCCGCUUUACUUUGAUGUUUAUUUUAUUAAAACUUUGUUUGAAUGUUCGCCGGUUCCUGCCUCCUUCUUCCCGAUCUACGAACUGUGUUACAAUAUAAUUCAACAGAGGAUGGCUGUGGUGAAACAAGCACUCAAAUAACGGAACUAAGACCAGUGGGAGUGCUGGAGAAAUCAAGUGUAUACGUCCUCUGUCUCCUCAGCCAUGGAAGAGAUCUUCAGACAUGAAGAGAUGGAGGAGUUAAAUGAAAUCAAAGAGCUAAAAGAAGAUUUACAAUACUAGUGCCAUUUCAGUAUGAAAACAGAGAGAGAGCUGAGGGAGUGGAAAGAAAUGCAUGUUAUUGUGUAGUUGCAUGGACUAUCAGUGGAGGAACAGAAAGCUCUGAGAUUUCAUUAUAAAGAUCUUCAUUUGUGUUCUGAAGAUGAACGAAAGACUUGCGGGUUUGGAACGAUAUGAGGGCUACAUCAAAAAUAGUUUCCACAUCUGAGAUGAAGGCAGUCAUAAGAACCAAGCGGAACGAUGAGGAUAAGCUCUUCAAAAAAUGAAACCUGUCAGAAUAAUGAGGGAAGAAAUGUGCAUGAUUGUGUGAUUUGUAAAUAAACACUAAAUACAUUUAGUGUAACUCUCAGCCUGUUAUUUUAAGUUUAAAGAAAAGUAAAUAAAUGUAUUGUUGCAUUGCUGUUUGAGACAUUCACUGUUGUUUUGUACCUUCAUUUAUUAUAUUGCAGUUGUGUGCAAAUAAAACUUGUUUUUCUGAAUAUUCUGGUUGCAUUUCAGUGUUACUGUGCAGCAUUUUAUUAGUAUUGCACUUUGGUAGUACUGAAUUGUACUUCAGUUGUAUUAUUACAGUACUACUGCAGAUUUAUUGCAGUAUAACUGUAAUAAUACUUCAGCUUUAUUGCAGUAAUACUGCAGUUCUAUUGCAGUUGUUUGUUAGUAAUACUACAGCUCUACUGCAGUUGUAUUUCAAUAGUACUUCAGAUGUAUUGCAGUAAAACAACAAUAAUGCAGUUUUUUCGUGUCCAAAAAACAGCAUUUUUCUACAUGUAACAAAAACUGCAGUAUUACUUUUUUUAAAAACUGCAGUAAUUUUUUGUAAGGGUACUACUUUUAAUUUGAGUGUGUAAGCAAUCCAAAAAAACUGUAAAGACACAUCUCUUUAGUCAAGCAUUCACAUAAUGCAUCUUAUAAUCUUGUACUGCAUUUAUAUCUGAUCAAAUGUACAUUAUAAUUCUUUAGAUUGGGUUGAACAAAUCAUUUUUGCUUGAAUAGAACAGCAGCUACGCUAAUUAUGUCUCUAUCUGUUUCUCUGAUUCUGCCUACUAGGAAUUACUGAAGCGUCAGUCUGGAUCCAACCCUUAAAAAGAUCCGAGAUGACCAAACACCUGAGAAGAGAUGGAGGAUGCCAACCCUCA